ensembl:snRNA
ACCAUCCUUUUCUUGGGGUUGCAGUAUGUCCAAUGAGCGCAUAGUGAAGGCAGUACUGCUAACACCUACGCAACACACCCGCAUCAACUAGAGGUUUGCUUUUACCUUGGUGCAAUUUUUGGAAAA